UACGGGGGGGGGCAAGCGUUGUUCGGAAUUACUGGGCGUAAAGGGCUCGUAGGCGGCCAACUAAGUCAGACGUGAAAUCCCUCGGCUCAACCGAGGAACUGCGUCUGAUACUGGAAGGCUUGAAUCCGGGAGAGGGAUGUGGAAUUCCAGGUGUAGCGGUGAAAUGCGUAGAUAUCUGGAGGAACACCGGUGGCGAAGGCGGCAUCCUGGACCGGUAUUGACGCUGAGGCGCGAAAGCUAGGGGAGCAAACGGGG
rnacentral:rRNA from 1 species